rnacentral:rRNA from 1 species
GAUGAACGCUGGCGGCGUGCCUAAUACAUGCAAGUCGAGCGAACAGACGAGGAGCUUGCUCCUCUGACGUUAGCGGCGGACGGGUGAGUAACACGUGGAUAACCUACCUAUAAGACUGGGAUAACUUCGGGAAACCGGAGCUAAUACCGGAUAAUAUAUUGAACCGCAUGGUUCAAUAGUGAAAGACGGUUUUGCUGUCCCUUAUAGAUGGAUCCGCGCCGCAUUAGCUAGUUGGUAAGGUAACGGCUUACCAAGGCAACGAUGCGUAGCCGACCUGAGAGGGUGAUCGGCCACACGGGAACUGAGACACGGUCCAGACUCCUACGGGAGGCAGCAGUAGGGAAUCUUCCGCAAGGGGCGAAAGCCUGACGGAGCAACGCCGCGGGAGUGAUGAAGGUCUUCGGAUCGUAAAACUCUGUUAUUAGGGAAGAACAAAUGUGUAAGUAACGAUGCACGUCUUGACGGUACCUAAUCAGAAAGCCACGGCGAACUACGU